CCCUUAGAUGUUCUGGGCCGCACGCGUGUUACACUGACGCAUUCAUCAAGUUUUUCUCCUUGGCUGAGAGGCCUGGGUAAUCUUUGAAUGUGCGUCGUGAUGGGGAUAGAUGAUUGCAAUUAUUCAUCUUCAACGAGGAAUGCCUAGUAAACGCAAGUCAUCAGCUUGCAUUGAUUACGUCCCUGCCCUUUGUACACACCGCCCGUCGCUACUACCGAUUGGAUGGUUUAGUGAGUUCCACGGACUGGCGAUGUCGGAUUUAUCUCUGGCUUUGUUGGGAAGUGGAUCAAACUUGACUAUCUAGAGGAAGUAAAAGUCGUAACA
rnacentral:rRNA from 1 species